CGGGCGCUCGCGGGAGAGUGUGGAGCUAUUCCACCGCCGAAGGAGCAACCGCCCCGGAAUCUCUCAGGCAACCGGACCGCAGCGCUUA
rnacentral:ncRNA from 2 species